GGUCAAGUGAAGAAGGGCGCACGGUGAAUGCCUUGGCACUGGAAGCCGAUGAAGGACGCGACUAACCGCGAAAGUCUUCGGGGAGCCGUAAGUAGGCUUUGAUCCGGAGGUCUCCGAAUGGGGGAACCCAGCAUGUGCAGACAUGCUAUCCUUAAGUGAAUACAUAGCUUAAGGAGGGAACACGCAGUGAACUGAAACAUCUAAGUAGCUGCAGGAAGAGAAAGAAAUAUCGAUUUCCCAAGUAGCGGCGAGCGAACAGGAAAGAGC
rnacentral:rRNA from 1 species